UCUCUAAAGUCUAGAUCCCUCUAAUCUCUCUUCUCUCUUUUUCUACACUCUUUCUUUCUUUGAAUCUCUUCUAAUCCAUUCUUCUACCGCAACCCUCCCAAAACCAUCUACAUUCGAAUCCAUGUAUCUACUCGAUUGCUGACGGAUCAAUUAUCAAGCAACGAUCAGAGCAUUCGUUCUCAAGGAAAGCAUUUGUUCUCCAGGUCUUCACUCCAAUAGCACCACUAAGCCAUCAGACCAAAGGGCUUUGGAUAUAUCUAUGUGAAUGGAACGGGAAACCCUUGAACAG